AGCGAUCGUUGGCGGUAGGCCUAACACAUGCAAGUCGAACGAGAAGUCAGCUUCGGUUGGUGGAAAGUGGCGGACGGGUGAGUAUAACAUGGGAACCUGCCCUAAAGUGGGGGAUAACGGUUGGAAACAGCCGCUAAUACCGCAUAUGGCGAAAGCUGAAAGCUCCGGCGCUUUAGGAUGGGCCCAUGCCCCAUUAGCUAGUUGGUAAGGUAAAAGCUUACCAAGGCAACGAUGGGUAGCUGGUUUGAGAGGAUGAUCAGCCACACUGGGACUGAGACACGGCCCAGACUCCUACGGGAGGCAGCAGUGAGGAAUAUUGCGCAAUGGGGGAAACCCUGACGCAGCCAUACCGCGUGUGUGAAGAAGGCCCUAGGGUUGUAAAGCACUUUCAGUAGGGAAGAUAAUGACGGUACCUACAGAAGAAGUCCCGGCUAACUCCG
rnacentral:rRNA from 1 species